rnacentral:rRNA from 1 species
AGCCCGCUCAGAACUUAAGGAAUUGACGGGGCCGCACAAGCGGAGGAGCAUGUGGUUUAAUUCGAUGAUACGCGAGGAACCUUACCUGGGCUCGAACGUAAGAUGACUGUAGGUGAAAGCUUACAUCUCUUCGGAGCAUUUUACGAGGUGCUGCAUGGUUGUCGUCAGCUCGUGCCGUGAGGUGUCGGGUUAAGUCCCAUAACGAGCGCAACCCCUACCUUUAGUUGCCAUCAGGUUAAGCUGGGGACUCUAAAGGAACUGCCUACGCAAGUAGUGAGGAAGGCGGGGAUGACGUCAAAUCAGCACGGCCCUUACGUCCAGGGCUACACACGUGCUACAAUGGCCGAUACAGAGGGCAGCUACCUGGUGACAGGAUGCAAAUCUCCAAAGUCGGUCUCAGUUCGGAUCGGAGUCUGCAACCCGACUCCGUGAAGUUGGAUUCGCUAGUAAUCGCGCAUCAGCCAUGGCGCGGUGAAUACGUUCCCGGGCCUU